CGCUGCGGCAGGCUUAAUACAUGCAAGUCGAACGGUAACAGGCCUGGCAACAGGCGCUGACGAGUGGCGCACGGGUGCGUAACACGUAUGCAACCUACCCUGUACUGGGGGAUAACCCUGAGAAAUCGGGGCUAAUACCCCAUGGUAAUAUAGAUGGGCAUCCAUUUAUAUUUAAAGAUUCAUUGGUACGGGAUGGGCAUGCGCCCCAUUAGUUAGUUGGUGAGGUAACGGCUCACCAAGGCAUUGAUGGGUAGGGGUUCUGAGAGGAUUACCCCCCACACUGGUACUGAGACACGGACCAGACUCCUACGGGAGGCAGCAGUAAGGAAUAUUGGGCAAUGGAGGCAACUCUGACCCAGCCAUGCCGCGUGCAGGAAGACUGCCCUAUGGGUUGUAAACUGCUUUUUCAGGGGACUAACCGUGGUUACGUGUGACCACCUGCAUGUACCCUGGGAAUAAGCAUCGGCUAACUCCGUGCCAGCAGCCGCGGUAAUACGGAGGAUGCGAGCGUUAUCCGGAUUUAUUGGGUUUAAAGGGUGCGUAGGCUGACAUGUAAGUCAGUGGUGAAAGACCCCGGCUUAACCGGGGGGUUGCCAUUGAAACUGUAUGUCUUGAGUGUAAUCGAAGUGGGCGGAAUGAGGGGUGUAGCGGUGAAAUGCAUAGAUAUUCCUCAGAACACCGAUAGCGAAGGCAGCUCACUAGCUUACAACUGACGCUGAGGCACGAAAGCGUGGGUAUCAAACAGGAUUAGAUACCCUGGUAGUCCACGCUGUAAACGAUGAUC
rnacentral:rRNA from 1 species